rnacentral:rRNA from 1 species
AGAGGGUGCAAGCGUUAAUCGGAAUUACUGGGCGUAAAGCGCACGUAGGCGGAUGUUUAAGUCGAUUGUGAAAGCCCCGGGCUCAACCUGGGAACUGCAGUCGAUACUGGGCAUCUAGAGUAUGGUAGAGGUAAGUGGAAUUCCCGGUGUAGCGGUGAAAUGCAUAGAUAUCGGGAGGAACAUCAGUGGCGAAGGCGGCUUACUGGAUCAAUACUGACGCUGAGGAGCGAAAGCGUGGGGGGAGCAAACAGGAUUAGAGACCCUGGUAGUCCACGCCGUAAACCGAUGAGAACUAGGCGUUGGGAGGCUUUGACCUCUUAGUGCCGUAGCUAACGCGUUAAGUUCUCCGCCUGGGAGUACGGUCGCAAGAUUA